rnacentral:rRNA from 1 species
GAUGAACGCUAGCUACAGGCUUAACACAUGCAAGUCGAGGGGAAACGAUAUUGGAAGCUUGCUUCCGAUAGGCGUCGACCGGCGCACGGGUGAGUAACGCGUAUCCAACCUGCCCACCACUCGGGGAUAACCUUGCGAAAGUAAGACUAAUACCCAAUGAUAUCUCUAGAAGACACCUGCAGGAGAUUAAAGAUUUAUCGGUGAUGGAUGGGGAUGCGUCUGAUUAGCUUGUUGGCGGGGUAACGGCCCACCAAGGCGACGAUCAGUAGGGGUUCUGAGAGGAAGGUCCCCCACAUUGGAACUGAGAUACGGUCCAAACUCCUACGGGAGGCAGCAGUGAGGAAUAUUGGUCAAUGGGCGAGAGCCUGAACCAGCCAAGUAGCGUGCAGGAUGACGGCCCUAUGGGUUGUAAACUGCUUUUAUGAGGGAAUAAAGUGAGCCUCGUGAGGCUUUUUGCAUGUACCUUAUGAAUAAGGACCGGCUAAUUCCGUGCCAGCCGCCGCGGUAA